GGAUGUAGCUUAGUUGGCCUAAAGCGCCAGUUUGUGGCACUGGAGAUCGUGGGUUCGAAUCCCAUCUUC
rnacentral:tRNA from 1 species